AACGAACGCUGGCGGCAGGCCUAACACAUGCAAGUCGAGCGGAUCCUUCGGGAUUAGCGGCGGACGGGUGAGUAACGCGUGGGAAUAUGCCCUUCUCUACGGAAUAGCCUCGGGAAACUGGGAGUAAUACCGUAUACGCCCUACGGGGGAAGGAUUUAUCGGAGAAGGAUUAGCCCGCGUUGGAUUAGGUAGUUGGUGGGGUAACGGCCUAACAAGCCUACGAUCCAUAGCUGGCUUGAGAGGAUGAUCAGCCACACUGGGACGGAGACACGGCCCAGACUCCUACGGGAUGCAGCAGUGUGGAAUCAGUAACAAUAGGGGAGACCCUGAUCUAGCCAUGCCGCGUGAGUGAUGAAGGCCGUAGGGUUGUAAAGCUCUUUCAGCUGGGAAGAUAAUGACGGUACCAGCAGAAGAAGCCCCGGCUAACUCCGUGCCAGCAGCCGCGGUAAAAC
rnacentral:rRNA from 1 species